CCUACGGGGCGCAGCAGUGGGGAAUAUUGCACAAUGGGCGAAAGCCUGAUGCAGCAACGCCGCGUGAAGGAAGAAGGGUUUCGGCUCGUAAACUUCUAUCAACAGGGACGAAAGAAAUGACGGUACCUGAAUAAGAAGCCCCGGCUAACUACGUGCCAGCAGCCGCGGUAAUACGUAUGGUGCAAGCGUUAUCCGGAUUUACUGGGUGUAAAGGGAGCGCAGGCGGCACGCUAAGCCUAAUGUGAAAACCCGCGGCCCAACCGCGGGAGUGCAUUGGGAACUGGCGAGCUAG
rnacentral:rRNA from 1 species